CUACGGGGGGCAGCAGUGAGGAAUAUUGCGCAAUGGGCGAAAGCCUGACGCAGCGACGCCGCGUGAAGGAUGAAGGUCUUCGGAUUGUAAACUUCUGUUAAGUGGGAAAAAAGACUCGUUUCUAAUACAGACGAGGGAUGAUUGUACCAUUAAAGAAAGCACCGGCUAACUUCGUGCCAGCAGCCGCGGUAAUACGAAGGGUGCUAGCGUUAUUCGGAAUUAUUGGGCGUAAAGGGCGCGUAGGUGGCAUGUUAAGUUUGCUGUUAAAUCUUCCAGCCUAACUGGAAAACUGCAGCAAAAACUGGCAAGCUAGAGUGUAAGAGAGAGAAGUGGAAUUCUCGGAGUAGCGGUAAAAUGCGUAGAUCUCGAGAGGAACACCGAUGGCGAAGGCAGCUUCUUGGCUUACUACUGACACUGAGGCGCGAAAGCGUGGGGAGCAAACAGGAUUAGAUACCCCCGUAGUC
rnacentral:rRNA from 1 species